rnacentral:rRNA from 1 species
UAGGGAAUCUUCGGCAAUGGACGGAAGUCUGACCGAGCAACGCCGCGUGAGUGAAGAAGGUUUUCGGAUCUUAAAGCUCUGUUGUUAGAGAAGAACGUUGGUAGGAGUGGAAAAUCUACCAAGUGACGGUAACUAACCAGAAAGGGACGGCUAACUACGUGCCAGCAGCCGCGGUAAUACGUAGGUCCCGAGCGUUGUCCGGAUUUAUUGGGCGUAAAGCGAGCGCAGGCGGUUCUUUAAGUCUGAAGUUAAAGGCAGUGGCUUAACCAUUGUACGCUUUGGAAACUGGAGGACUUGAGUGCAGAAGGGGAGAGGGGAAUUCCAUGUGUAGCGGUGAAAUGCGUAGAUAUAUGGAGGAACACCGGUGGCGAAAGCGGCUCUCUGGUCUGUAACUGACGCUGAGGCUCGAAAGCGUGGGGAGCAAACAGG